GUUCUUAGAUAAUGUCAAACCAGUUUUCCAGCUACGUUUGUGUUUCUGCACAGUGACGAUCGACACUUAACGUUACGGUUGAUUUCGUUGAAAUGCUCAGCACGGUAUUUACUGUGCUAAUAAAUAGAGUCGUGAUCACUGUUGACAUUUCUUCCUUCCUUUUCUCGACAUAAAUUGUUGAGUUUUGAAUAGAAGUGCGUGUUCGGUGUUUAUGUUUUUUUGUUAAAUAAUAUAAUAAUGUUUUUAUCUUACGAUGUGAUUGCUACUUUCGGCGUAUCGGCGUUGGUGUCAUUCUUCGUGUCAGUGACAUUACUCCUAACCGUUGCAUCGAAGCGGGGACUGUUACGUAUGCCAACUAGCAAUGAAUCUUUGGUCUCUCCGUUGAAGGAGAAGAUCGUACCAUCUGCGCCCGAACUAGCUCCACUAGCCGAUUCUUCAUAAGCAGACAAAACCAGUAAAAAAAUAUACGACUUUGUAAUAUUACCACUAGUUGAUUACUAAUAAAUUAAUUAGAAGUGUAUUACAUUAAUACACUCUUCAAAAAACAUGAAAUAACUGUCCUAUGUAAUGGCAUUUAUUGUUGGCCUCAUUAGGAAUGGCAGAGCAAUGGUAACGCAUGUAGUCAUUUCCAAUGGCAGGAAGAUAAUAAAAAUAAACAAAUUUAACCUUGAAUUGAUAUGAUAUUAUACGUCGAAACAAGCUGUGUUGUUCAUUGUGAUUUUGUGAAAAAAUGGCGCUUUGAGUUUCGGCGAAAAGUAAAAUGAAAAUAGAUAUAUAGGUAUCUAGUUUUAAGGAACAGUGUUGUAUUAUAAAUAAACACUUACUACUACUUAAUACUUUAAGAACUCUAUAGUCCAUGACAUUAGCAAAUUGCAUGGAGUAUAUAAAUCUAAGGUUUGUUUAUCUUUACGUCUGCUGCCAUUGGAAUGAAAUAAAGGUGUAUAUUUUACCUAUCGCUAACCAGAACGAAAGGUGAAUGAGUCAAAGUAAUUAAAAAAAAACUGGUACAAAAUACCAUUAAAUAAUUAUGUUAUUAUUAUAGCAUGAUAACUCCAUUUGAUUUAUUAUUAUAUAAUAAGUUAAUUAUGGAAUACAAACUAGCAAAUAAUUAUUUUGUCCGGAAUGUUCGUUACGAUUUGAAAUUUAUCAUUAAAUAUGCGUUCUAAUAAUUCUAAUAAUUUAAAUUUUUUUGCAAAAUUAUAUCUAAUAUCGUACAUGAAUUGUAUAUAUAACGUUUAAAAUCAACCGGAAGAAUAGUUUAGGUACAAAAGAUGCAUUUAUUAUACAAACUGGUACUUACCAGUACUCUUUUAGUAACGCCAUCUAUCGGAAAUCGGAACGAACGUUCCGAGUGACUUAUUACGAACGCACUUAAUAAAGAAACUAAGUCAAGUUAUAAGUAAAACAAAAAUUACAACGCACAUUAUUUUUUGGAAAACGAUGUUACAAUAAAAUUGAAUUUUAUAAUU